CAGUCUGGCCUGCCCCCUGAAAUUUAAAGGGCCGCGGUAUUUGUACCGUGCUAAGGUAGCAUAAUAAAUAGUCUUUUAAUUGAAGUCUAGUAGGAACGGUCGGACAUGAAGUAAGCUGUUUCAAUUAUGAUGUUUGAAUUUUACUUUUAAGUGAAAAGGCUUAAAUCAGAUGGUGGGACGAUAAGACCCUAUAAAGCUUUACAUUUUAUUUUUUGGUUUAAAAGAUUUAAAGUUUCUUGUGUCUAUAAAGUAUAGUGUUUCGUUGGGGCGACGAGAAUAUAAAUAGUAACUGUUUUUUUAUAAAAAAUACUUGUUUGUAGGUGAAUUGAUCCUUUAUAAAGAUUAUAAGAUUUAAGUUACUUUAGGGAUAACAGCGUAAUUUAUUUUGAGAGUUCAUAUCGACAAAUAUAGUUGCGACCUCGAUGUUGAAUUAAAAUACCCCCUAGGUGUAGAAGUUUAGGAGGAAGGUCUGUUCGACCUUUAAAAAUUU
rnacentral:rRNA from 1 species